AGCAGCCGCGGUAAUUCCAGCUCCAAUAGCGUAUAUUAAAGUUGUUGCAGUUAAAAAGCUCGUAGUUGAAUUUCGGGGUUAGUAGUUUGGUCGUGCCAAUGGUAUGUACUGGGCUCACUGAUUCCUCCUUCCUGAUGAACUGUAAUGCCAUUAAUUUGGUGUUGCAGGGAAACUGGACUGUUAACUUUGAAAAAAAUUGAGUGUUUAAAGCAAGCUAACGCUUGAAUACAUUAGCAUGGAAUAAUGAAAUAGGACGUUCGAUCCUAUUUUGUUGGUUUCUAGGAUUGACGUAAUGAUUAAUAGGGAUAGUUGGGGGCAUUAGUAUUCAAUUGUCAGAGGUGAAAUUCUUGGAUUUAUUGAAGACUAACUACUGCGAAAGCAUUUGCCAAGGAUGUUUUCAUUAAUCAAGAACGAAAGUUAGGGGAUCGAAGACGAUCAGAUACCGUCGUAGUCUUAACCAUAAACUAUGCCGACUAGGGAUCGGAUGAUGUUAAUUUUUAAUGACUCAUUCGGCGCCUUA
rnacentral:rRNA from 1 species